rnacentral:rRNA from 1 species
CCUACGGGUGGCAGCAGUGAGGAAUAUUGGUCAAUGGCCGUAAGACUGAACCAGCCAAGUAGCGUGAGGGAUGACUGCCCUAUGGGUUGUAAACCUCUUUUAUGCGGGGAUAAAGUUGUCCACGUGUGGAUGUUUGCAGGUACCGCAUGAAUAAGGACCGGCUAAUUCCGUGCCAGCAGCCGCGGUAAUACGGAAGGUCCGGGCGUUAUCCGGAUUUAUUGGGUUUAAAGGGAGCGUAGGCCGGUCUUUAAGCGUGCCGUGAAAUUUCGUGGCUCAACCAUGAGAGUGCGGCGCGAACUGGAGUGCUUGAGUGCGCGGAAGGUAGGCGGAAUGCGUGGUGUAGCGGUGAAAUGCUUAGAUAUCACGAAGAACCCCGAUUGCGAAGGCAGCAUGCCGCAGCGUUACUGACGCUGAAGCUCGAAAGCGCGGGUAUCGAACAGGAUUAGAUACCCCAGUAGUC